UGCCGAAUAGGCAUCAACUCACCACGUAGCUUAUUCUUAAUGUUUGUCCAUAGGCUACCAGAGUGAGGACAGACAUUUUUCGGAAAAAACGUGGUGAGUGAGAAACUGAAUGAAAUAGCCCACUCCAUACCCGGUAUCUUAUUCUGCCGCUAUACAAUUUUGUAUCCGUUGUUUGCUGGCAACCUUGUUAUUUACGAACUUUUUGGAACAAAUUCCUGUUGGAACGUUCCACAAAUUACACCCAGCUGACUGCGAGGGAACGUGCUUCGGUCGACAAUGUUCGGCUACUGUUUACAUAAUGUGCAACAAUGCCUCUGGAGAUUGAAAAUACAAGCGACAGAACCUACCGUCGCAGCAAAAAGUCGGAUGGAAGUGUAGGGCAUUCCAGAAGGUACCGUGCGAUGAUGCAGAUGAGACAGAAGGCGAAGUAGAAGACUGAGGUGAAAAUCAUCACUCCCCAAUCAAUCAUCAAUCAGAAGACACACCUCCUCCUAUUUCCUACCCUAUCACAGUUCCUUCC